rnacentral:tRNA from 1 species
GCCUGGCUGGCUCAGUCAGAAGAGUGUGUGACUCUUGGUCUCAGGGUCACGAGUUCAAAUCCCAUGUUGGGUG